rnacentral:tRNA from 1 species
GCUCCCAUGGCGUAGUGGUCACUGCGCUCGCCUUGCACGCGGGAGACCCGGGUUCGAUUACCUGCGGGGUCA